CCGAGGUUACAACUCCCAAACCCCUGUGAACAUACCACUUGUUGCCUCGGCGGAUCAGCCCGCUCCCGGUAUAAACGGGACGGCCCGCCAGAGGACCCCUAAACUCUGUUUCUAUAUGUAACUUCUGAGUAAAACCAUAAAUAAAUCA
rnacentral:misc_RNA from 1 species